GGGAUGUAGCUCAGUGGUAGGGCGUCUGCUUGGCAUGCAGAAGGUCCCAGACUCCACCCCUGGCAUCUGCA